GGAAGGAUCAUGGCUCCCUGGUAGAGUAUCUGCUUGGAGUGCAAAAGGUCCCAAGUUCAAUUCUUGGCACCUCCA
rnacentral:tRNA from 1 species